AUGAUGGAUCCCGACGCCAAGGAGGGCGGGCCACUCGAAGAAGCUGGCGGCGCCGGCGCCGAGAGUGGUCCCUGCGACGGCAGCGCCGAAUGCGGCGUCGCCUCCCCCUUCCGCUGGCUGCGGCGGCUCUCCCGCGAGCUGCACUGGAGCUUCGUGCUCGCCGUCUUCGCCGUCUACGGGGCCUGCCAGGGCGUGGGCAACGCCGUCGGGGUGGUCGCCGCCUCGUACUACAGCAAGGACGUGCUGCGCCUCCAGCCGUCCGCGGCACAGUUCUACCAGGGCAUCGUCGACUCGCCGUGGGUCGUCAAGCCCAUCUGGGGCCUGCUCACCGACGUCGUGCCCGUCGCCGGGUACCGCCGCCGCCCCUACUUCCUUCUCGCAGGCGUGAUUGGCGCCACAUCCAUGCUUAUGAUCUCCCUGCAAAGCAAUCUGGGGCUCAUACCGGCGGUCCUAGCCCUCACGGCGCAGAGCGCAGGCGCGGCGAUAGCCGACGUGACGCUGGACGCGCUGGUUGCGCAGAACAGCAUAACACAUCCGCCGCUCGCCGCCGACAUGCAGAGCCUGUGCGGGUUUUGCUCCUCAUUUGGGUCAUUGAUUGGGUACUCCAUCAGCGGCCUUCUUGUCCACUCCAUGGGCGCUCAGGGGGCUCUUGGCUUGUUGAGCAUCCCCUCAGCACUGGUGUUCUCAGCUGGGAUUCUCCUGAAGGAGAGCAGAGUGACAAACUUCAAUUACAAGCAGGUUCAUAAGAAGUUCUACAAAGCAAUUCGGUCAACGGGGACAACACUGAAGUGCCCUGAAGUCUGGCGGCCGUGUUUGUACAUAUAUGUUUCGCUCAAUCUAAGCCUGGACAUCCAAGGAGGGAUGUUCUACUGGUACACAGAUCGAUUAAAUGGACCAGGAUUUUCUGAGGAAUUUAUUGGUGUGAUCUAUGCAGUCGGUGCAGUGGGUUCACUACUCGGGGUUGUCCUAUACCAAAGUGCUCUAAAGGACUAUGAUUUCCGCAGCAUGCUUUUAUGGGGUCAGGUGCUGUCAAGCCUGACAGGGAUGCUUGAUCUAGCGCUGGUGACCCGACUAAACACGAAGGUCGGCAUACCAGACUACGUUUUCGCGGUGAUCGACUGCGGCGUUUCUGUAAUGGUCGGCAAGCUUCAGUGGAUGCCGGUUCUCGUGCUUUGCUCCAAGCUUUGUCCUCCGGGCAUCGAAGGAACCUUCUAUGCCCUGCUCAUGUCGAUACAAAAUGUGGGGCUGCUUAUGUCUGCCUGGUGGGGUGGCCUGCUGCUGCACACGCUGAAUGUGACUCGAUCGGAGUUCACUAACCUUUGGGCAGUUGUAUUGAUCAGAAACGUCUCGAGGCUACUUCCGCUGAUGCUACUGUUUCUUGUUCCUCAAAGCGACCAGAACUCGACGCUCCUUCCUGCGGAGAUGCUCCAUGAUGACGAAUCUACAGAAGCUGUCAAGGAUGGAUCAGGCAGUGUUGAGUUUUCCGUCCUUGUUGCGGAUGGUUCAGGUUGUCAUCCUUCCGUUGAGGAUGUUCAAGAUGAGAGAAUCAAAGUGACUGAUGAUGUAGGAGGGGAUGUAGAGUUGAUCCCACUGAUGAACACGAACAGAACAGUUGGGUGA
rnacentral:rRNA from 1 species